UACGUAGGGGGCAAGCGUUGUCCGGAAUCAUUGGGCGUAAAGAGCGUGUAGGCGGCCAGAAAAGUCCGCUGUGAAAACUCGAGGCUCAACUUCGAGCUGUCGGUGGAAACUUUCUGGCUAGAGUCCGGAAGAGGAGAGUGGAAUUCCUGGUGUAGCGGUGAAAUGCGCAGAUAUCAGGAAGAACACCCGUGGCGAAAGCGGCUCUCUGGGACGGUACUGACACUGAGGCACGAAAGCGUGGGGAUCAAACAGG
rnacentral:rRNA from 1 species